CCUGUUUCUGUGUGUCUGAGAAAGCUAGCAGAGCCCUCGCUAUUGUUUCUGGCGAACAAAACCCCCCACAAAAUUCAGAAAUGAAAGGUCAAUGGAGGCUGGUGACAUCUGAAAGUGGACAGGAAAUGCUGACAAGUUAAUGUACAGUAGUUUCAGAAGUCCUUUUAUCGGGCCAGUUAAGAGCCAUAUCUAUGCUCAUUUGUAUGAAACCCAAGGGACAUUAUCC